CUCCACUCACGAAGGCCCAACAAACCAGGCUUCGUUGGGGAGCCGCCUCCGGGAAAGGUCAGAGUUUGUCAUUCAUUAAACCCCAAACGCCGCGAGCCUACUGGCCUUACAGCAGUUCCCGUAGCCCCGCCUCGCCGCGUUGUAUUGUGGGAGCUGUAGUUCUGGACUGCCCAGGGUUUGGAAGGAGUAAGAAGGAAGACCUGUUAAGAAUCUGAGGUUUGAAGAAUUUGAAGUCUUCAUUCAGAAGAAAACUACUCCAGACCUUUUAAAGCAUACUACUCUUGAAGAAGCUGCUGAAGAGAUGUCUGCCAAGUCUAGCUGCCCCAGAAAAGAAUGACAGCAAAAGGAUGAGAUCCACCCUAAAGGUGAUCAUUGUGAGCUUCAGAUUAAGAAGAUGGACUUAUUAUGCUUUUAAAGAAAACUUACCCAUGUAUUCGAGAGAUCCAUAUCUGUGUAAGAAGACUUGAGACGCAGUUGGUGACCGCAGGAGCAACAGCCGCCCCAGUGGCCUCCUUGGGCAAUUGGAAAAUCAACACCU